GAGCAAAUAUAUGUUCAUAUUUCUAUUUUAAGUAGGCUAAAAAAACCAUUAUAUUUUCACUAUAAAAUUAAAACAUUUCUUAA
rnacentral:tRNA from 1 species